rnacentral:rRNA from 1 species
UACGAGGGGGGCGAGCGUUGUUCGGAAUUAUUGGGCGUAAAGGGGUGCGUAGGCGGUUUGGUAAGUCUCUUGUGAAAUCUAUGGGCUCAACCUCAUAGUCGUGCAAGGGAAACUGCCGGGCUUGAGUGUGGGAGAGGUGAGUGGAAUUUCCGGUGUAGCGGUGAAAUGCGUAGAUAUCGGAAGGAACACCUGUGGCGAAAGCGGCUCACUGGACCACAACUGACGCUGAUGCACGAAAGCGUGGGGAGCAAACAGG